ACGCUGGCGGCAGGCCUAACACAUGCAAGUCGAGCGGUAGAGAGAAGCUUGCUUCUCUUGAGAGCGGCGGACGGGUGAGUAAUGCCUAGGAAUCUGCCUGGUAGUGGGGGAUAACGUUCGGAAACGGACGCUAAUACCGCAUACGUCCUACGGGAGAAAGCAGGGGACCUUCGGGCCUUGCGCUAUCAGAUGAGCCUAGGUCGGAUUAGCUAGUUGGUGAGGUAAUGGCUCACCAAGGCGACGAUCCGUAACUGGUCUGAGAGGAUGAUCAGUCACACUGGAACUGAGACACGGUCCAGACUCCUACGGGAGGCAGCAGUGGGGAAUAUUGGACAAUGGGCGAAAGCCUGAUCCAGCCAUGCCGCGUGUGUGAAGAAGGUCUUCGGAUUGUAAAGCACUUUAAGUUGGGAGGAAGGGCAGUUACCUAAUACGUGAUUGUUUUGACGUUACCGACAGAAUAAGCACCGGCUAACUCUGUGCCAGCAGCCGCGGUAAUACAGAGGGUGCAAGCGUUAAUCGGAAUUACUGGGCGUAAAGCGCGCGUAGGUGGUUUGUUAAGUUGGAUGUGAAAUCCCCGGGCUCAACCUGGAAACUGCAUUCAAAACUGACUGACUAGAGUAUGGUAGAGGGUGGAGGAAUUUCCUGUGUAGCGGUGAAAUGCGUAGAUAUAGGAAGGAACACCAGUGGCGAAGGCGACCACCUGGACUAAUACUGACACUGAGGUGCGAAAGCGUGGGGAGCAAAC
rnacentral:rRNA from 1 species